UCAGAGUCCCAACACAGCUGGACCAUGAUUGGUCAUUAAGUAAAAACAAUUCACAUGAAACCAAUCAAACAAUGACCAGUUGGUAAACAAUGUCCAAACCACAUUCCAAAGCAGUAAAACACAGGAGAAUUGAAUCAGAUAGUUUUUGGUUUCGUUUUCCUCUGAGGCUUCUCAGCUUCCCAGGAGAAGAAAUCCUGGCAAAGGGAUUUUUCAGAAAAUAUGACAGUAACAGUGGUGAGCUCAGGACCAGAGUCAGGUGCUCUGAAGACAAAGACAGCAGGAAGUUCAGCCCCAGAAAAAUGGGUAUUGGGUGUUGAGCAAACCACAGGGUUAAUCCUGCAAACAUCUGCAGCUGUGACAUGGAGGGUCAGCAAAAGCUCCAUUGCACCUAAAAGCUGAGGUUAUCAGGCAUUUGGAAUAUCACCACCUGAUGAAAUUGUCUAAAGAGCAAAUUGGUUUCCAGUAUAUUUUCAGUGCAAUCUUAUAACCUACUUUCCCUGUCUUUUUAGCUAGGUAGAGAUGGCCACAAAAAUUUGUGGCUAAAACCAGCUGACAAAACACAAGCCCCCAAGGGAGUUGCCAGCUCUGGAACAUGAGAUGUUGCACUAGCAUCCAUUUCCCACCUCCUCCAGAAAGAAGAGACAAGGGGGAUACAAGUACAGGACUUCAGCAGGAAACACAUAAACCAGAACGCCACUCAGAGGAGUAUGUUAAGUUCUUCUGUAGACCAAGACAUCCUGACUGCUACUUUUUUGAUACCUGGAUACACAGCUCAUGUGUCUGGUUGCUCCUAUGAAUAUCCAGGCUGCCUAAAAACUGUUGCUAGUUAAAUACAAUGGAACCACAUAUUUUAUUUGGAACAGUUUUCAUAAUAUUUGGAACAGCGAUCAUAGAUGUGGACCCCCUCCAAAAAAGCAACAAUAUUGAAUCACCAUAAGAGAAUGCUGUCUUUCUUUUGCAUCCCAUUAAGAGAAAAUUGCUUGGUGCAAGAGGAACCUCAUGGAGCUCAAAUGCCAAGUGAACAUGUGAAAUACCAGGUUUUAAAGUGGAGUUGGCACAGCUGUCAUGCUGGUUUGACUUCAGCCACAACUCUGAAUAACAGGAAAACAACUUUGCAUGGAAAUUUUUUCUGGCCUUUGGCAAAACACACCAGUAAGAUGCUUUGCCUUAACUUUGACUCUCCCUCCUGUUCAUUCCUCUAAUUUUUCUGUUCUCUUGUUCUUCCUAUGCUUCAUGUAUUUUAUUUUUUAAUGAUAAUUAUUUUAAUUACUUAGCUUUUUUUAAAUAUUAAAGUAAGAUCUAAUAUCUUAGGUACAGUGAAAGGAUUCCAGCUCCAACAUUAGGCUGAGCUGGUUAUCUUGUCAUUUGAUUCAUGAUAUAGGAAGAGCUGUAAAACACUUGCACCAAAAUCAGAUGUUAUUCGGUUUUCUGUCACUGAUUAUAGAUGCAGAUCAAACAAUUAAAAGUUUUGUAAGAAAUACAAAACACUGCAGAUUAUAAAUAUUAAGAGCACCCUAACUAUUUCUGAACUACAAUUACAAAAGUCAGAGGAUACUUGCUGAGAGUUUACAUAAUGAGACUCUAAACAUAAGAUCUCUGUUUUGUGCCUUAAACAAUACAAUACUUUUCAUAUUUCUUUUGCCACUUCCUUUGUUAUUAGCAUUGUUUUAGAGUGAAAAUACACUCAAAGAGCAAAAGGAGUCUUGGCACUGUGAUUAGAUUCUGAGACAUAUCAGUGUGAACUUCUGCUUGAAAAGGAGAUUUAAGGUGUGAGAUGCCACAGAAGGCACCAUCCUCUCAGCAAGACUUUCCCCAAUAAUCUAUUGCACAAGGCAUAAUGCUCUCUCACACUAAAUUUAUGUCUCAGGUUAGGCACAGAUCUUGUAAAUUUCUUAGCCUGACUAAUGUAUUUUACUUCAUUGAGGCUCUGUGGUACUCUGAAUCUCUGAAAAUUAAUCCAAAAGUGUUACCUUCUGCAUGUACACUGAACAAGAAGACGUUGCCUGACAUUCACAACUACAUAAACAAAAUUUGAAAUAUGAAAUAUAAAACUAUGUGAGAAGAACACAAUAUAAAUCCACCAGGAGAUAGAAAGUGCAUGAAAGGUUUUUGCUGUUGGUGACAAAAAAGAAACAACACAUUGGACAUGAAUGUAAGAAAAUGUUUUAAGGUAAGUACAUGCUUCUGGGGAGAGCCUGGUGC
rnacentral:lncRNA from 1 species